rnacentral:rRNA from 1 species
GACGAACGCUGGCGGCGUGCUUAACACAUGCAAGUCGAACGGAAAGGCCCCCUUGUGGGGUACUCGAGUGGCGAACGGGUGAGUAACACGUGAGUAACCUACCCUUGACUUUGGGAUAACUUCAGGAAACUGGGGCUAAUACCGGAUAGGAGCUCCUGCUGCAUGGUGGGGGUUGGAAAGUUUAGGCGGUUGGGGAUGGACUUGCGGCUUAUCAGCUUGUUGGUGGGGUAGUGGCUCACCAAGGCUUUGACGGGUAGCCGGCCGGAGAGGGUGACCGGCCACAUUGGGACUGAGAUACGGCCCAGACUCCUACGGUAGGCAGCAGUGGGGAAUAUUGCACAAUGGGCGGAAGCCUGAUGCAGCAACGCCGCGUGCGGGAUGACGGCCUUCGGGUUGUAAACCGCUUUCGCCUGUGACGAAGCGUGAGUGACGGUAAUGGGUAAAGAAGCACCGGCUAACUACGUG